rnacentral:rRNA from 1 species
GACGUAGGGGGGCGAGCGUUGUCCGGAUUUAUUGGGCGUAAAGCGUGCGUAGGCGGCUGCGCAAGUCGGGUGUGAAACCCCGGGGCUCAACCCCGGAACUGCAUCCGAUACUGCGUGGCUAGAGGUAGGUAGGGGAGAUCGGAAUUCCUGGUGUAGCGGUGAAAUGCGCAGAUAUCAGGAGGAACACCGGUGGCGAAGGCGGAUCUCUGGGCCUUACCUGACGCUCAGGCACGAAAGUUAGGGGAGCGAACAGG